CAGCAGCCGCGGGAAUACGGAGGGAGCUAGCGUUAUUCGGAAUUACUGGGCGCAAAGCGCACGUAGGCGGCUUUGUAAGUUAGAGGUGAAAGCCUGGUGCUCAACACCAGAACUGCCUUUGAUACUGCAUCGCUUGAAUCCAGGAGAGGUGAGUGGAAUUCCGAGUGUAGAGGUGAAAUUCGUAGAUAUUCGGAAGAACACCAGUGGCGAAGGCGGCUCACUGGACUGGUAUUGACGCUGAGGUGCGAAAGCGUGGGGAGCAAACAGGAUUAGAUACCCCUGUAGUCCCUGUCUCUUAUAC
rnacentral:rRNA from 1 species